AUUGAACGCUGGCGGCAGGCCUAACACAUGCAAGUCGAGCGGAUGAAGGGAGCUUGCUCCUGGAUUCAGCGGCGGACGGGUGAGUAAUACCUAGGAAUCUGCCUGGUAGUGGGGGAUAACGUCCGGAAACGGGCGCUAAUACCGCAUACGUCCUGAGGGAGAAAGCGGGGGAUCUUCGGACCUCACGCUAUCAGAUGAGCCUAGGUCGGAUUAGCUAGUUGGUGGGGUAAAGGCCUACCAAGGCGACGAUCCGUAACUGGUCUGAGAGGAUGAUCAGUCACACUGGAACUGAGACACGGUCCAGACUCCUACGGGAGGCAGCAGUGGGGAAUAUUGGACAAUGGGCGAAAGCCUGAUCCAGCCAUGCCGCGUGUGUGAAGAAGGUCUUCGGAUUGUAAAGCACUUUAAGUUGGGAGGAAGGGCAGUAAGUUAAUACCUUGCUGUUUUGACGUUACCAACAGAAUAAGCACCGGCUAACUUCGUG
rnacentral:rRNA from 1 species